rnacentral:lncRNA from 1 species
CUGCUUCUGAUGGGAGUAAUGAUAGCAUCUACUGAUGGAUGCUUCUACAACAUCUUAUGAUGGAUGUUAAGUGAUUUGGUGUCUACUGAUGGAUGCCAAUGAAGAUAAGAAAGAUUACUACUGAUGGAUGCUAUAUGGCUAGACAUUUACUGAUGGAUGUCACUAACGACAUUUACUGAUGAAUGCUACUAAGAUAGCAUCUACUGAGGGAUGCUAGAAGAAUUAGGUAUCUACUGAAGGAUACAGGAAG